UGGGGAAUCUUGCGCAAUGGGCGAAAGCCUGACGCAGCGACGCCGCGUGAGUGAUGAAGGCCUUCGGGUUGUAAAGCUCUGUGGGGAGAGAAGAAUAAGUGCGGGCUAAUACCCCGCAUGAUGACGGUAUCUCCUUAGCAAGCACCGGCUAACUCUGUGCCAGCAGCCGCGGUAAGACAGAGGGUGCAAACGUUGUUCGGAAUUACUGGGCGUAAAGCGAGUGUAGGCGGUUUGGUAAGUCGGAUGUGAAAGCCCCGGGCUCAACCCGGGAAGUGCAUUCGAUACUGCCAAGCUAGAGUAUCGGAGAGGUUGGUGGAAUUCUCGGUGUAGAGGUGAAAUUCGUAGAUAUUCGGAAGAACACCAGUGGCGAAGGCGGCUCACUGGACGUGUAUUGACGCUGAGGUACGAAAGCGUGGGGAGCAAACAGGAUUAGAUACCCGGGUAGUCCCUGAGCGGGCUGGCAAGGCGCAU
rnacentral:rRNA from 1 species